AAUGAAAUACCCACUACUCUUAUUGUUUCCUUACUUACUUGAUUAAAUGGAACGUGUAUCAUUUCCUAGCCAUUAUACGGAUAUAUUUAUUAUAUCUUAUGGUAUUGGGCCCCGAUGCAAGCUUCUUGAUCAAAGUAUCACGAGUUUGUUAUAUAACGCAAACAAAUUCUUUAAUAAAACGGUGCAUUUAUGUAUUUUUGAUUUGAAAUUUGGUAUAACUCCAAUUACUCAGGUAUGAUCCAAUUCAAGGACAUUGCCAGGUAGGGAGUUUGACUGGGGCGGUACAUCUCUCAAAUAAUAACGGAGGUGUCCCAAGGCCAGCUCAGUGCGGACAGAAACCACACAUAGAGCAAAAGGGCAAAUGCUGACUUGAUCUCGGUGUUCAGUACACACAGGGACAGCAAAAGCUCGGCCUAUCGAUCCAAAAGGUUUAAAGAGUUUUUAACAAGAGGUGUCAGAAAAGUUACCAUAGGGAUAACUGGCUUGUGGCGGCCACGGUUCAUAGCGACGUCGCUUUUUGAUCCUUCGAUGUCGGCUCUUGGAUCUAGAGGGG
rnacentral:rRNA from 1 species